GCAGCGGUAAUACGGGGGAUGCAAGCGUUAUCCGGAAUCAUUGGGCGUAAAGCGCCUGUAGGUUGUUUAUUAAGUCUGUUGUUAAAGACUAGGGCUUAACCCUAGGAAAGCAAGAGAAACUAAUAGACUUGAGUAUGGCAGGGGUAGAGGGAAUUUCUAGUGUAGCGGUGAAAUGCGUAGAUAUUAGAAAGAACACCGGCGGCGAAAGCGCUCUACUGGACCAUUACUGACACUCAGAGGCGAAAGCUAGGGUAGCAAAAGGGAUUAGAUACCCCUGUAGUCCUGGCCGUAAACGAUGAACACUAGGUGUCGGGGGAAUCGACCCCUUCGGUGUCGUAGCUAACGCGUUAAGUGUUCCGCCUGGGGAGUACGCACGCAAGUGUGAAACUCAAAGGAAUUGACGGGGGCCCGCACAAGCGGUGGAGUAUGUGGUUUAAUUCGAUGCAACGCGAAGAACCUUACCAGGGUUUGACAUCCUGAGAACCUCUUAGAAAUUUGAGGGUGCCUUCGGGAAUUCAGUGACAGGUAGUGCAUGGCU
rnacentral:rRNA from 1 species